AUGGAACCACGAUUCAUGGCCCAAGCUGUCUCCUUAUCCAUGCUGCAUCCAACGGAGCCUUUUCUGGGACUGAAGCAUCGAGCUUCGCCACAAGUAACCAUAAUUCAUGGACCAAGCUGUCUCAUUAUCCACGCUGCAUCCAACGGAGACUUCUGUGGUACUGAAGCAUCGAUCUUCCCCACAACAAGGAAUCGCCACGAUCCAUGGACAAGCUGUCUCCUCGUCCAUUCUGCACCUCUGCCCUCCAUCCCCAAAGAGUGUGUUUCAUUCAGAGAAUGGAGCGUUCAGAUUACGACAACCUUACGGAUCAAUCGUUUUCACAAGAUGGCAGGUGAGAUUCGAAGCCCAAUUUAUUAUUUGUUGUUUAAAACAGAAUUAAAUCACUAUACAAGCAAUAAUUAUUGUAUUUUUUUUUUUUCGAACAGGUUAUCCCCAAUAAGGACAUCGUUGAUAACAGAUGUGGAAAAUGAGUUAUCUGAAUUACACGACGAGUGGAUGAAAAUGAACGACUUUCUUGAAGACAUUCAUUUGUUUCGAAAUGAACUGAACGAUAUUAUUGUUGACUAGAAAGAAUUACUCUCACGUCAUCUGACAUGGAAUGAAUAGAGUCCAAGUUCAAACGCACAACUUGAUCUUCUGGAGGAAUCUGACAUGACACUAUCUUCUGGAGGUAAAUAAAAUGUUAAAUUAAUUAUUUCAUUCAUAUUAUUAUUUCAUCAUCUUUAUAUGCUCUAAUGGGGUUCCCCUUGUUUUAAACAGAAUAUGAUGUACGAGUUUCAAAAUCACAAGACAUCUGACUGCUGGGAAAGAUCGUCCAUUCUCGCAAAUGAAUAUUUACCCAAAGAAGAAUGUUUAAUAUUUUCAAUCUUGAUUAAUUAUAUUUGCUUUGCUUUCAAUUAUCUAAUUCUUAAUUAUAAAAAAAGAAUAAAGGAAGUGCAAAGGAGGGGGGGUAGGUGCGCUCCCCCAACGACCCACCACCCCCCUCAUGCCACCCCCCUCCCCUCCC
rnacentral:lncRNA from 1 species